CAUGCCGGGCAGCCUACCAUGCAAGUCGCACGCGAAAGGGGGCAACCCUGAGUAGAGUGGCGGACGGGUGCGUAACGCGUAGGAAUAUACCUGGUAGUGGGGGACAACCCGGCGAAAGCCGGGCUAAUACCGCAUACGAUCUACGGAUGAAAGCAGGGGACCGCAAGGCCUUGCGCUAUCAGAUUAGCCUGCGUCGGAUUAGCUAGUUGGUGAGGUAAUGGCUCACCAAGGCAACGAUCCGUAGCUGGUUUGAGAGAACGACCAGCCACACUGGGACUGAGACACGGCCCAGACUCCUACGGGAGGCAGUAGUGGGGAAUAUUGGACAAUGGGGGCAACCCUGAUCCAGCAAUGCCGCGUGUGUGAAGAAGGCCUUCGGGUUGUAAAGCACUUUCGAUGGGGAAAAACAAGCCAGACCUAAUACGUCUGGCCCUGAUGGUACCCAGAGAAGAAGCACCGGCUAACUCUGUGCCAGCAGCCGCGGUAAUACAGAGGGUGCAAGCGUUAAUCGGAAUUACUGGGCGUAAAGCGUGUGUAGGUGGUUUGUUAAGUCAGAUGUGAAAUCCCUGGGCUCAACCUGGGAACUGCAUUUGAUACUGUCAGACUAGAGUGUGGUAGAGGGUAGUGGAAUUCCGCAUGUAGCGGUGAAAUGCGUAGAGAUGCGGAGGAACACCAGUGGCGAAGGCGGCUACCUGGACCAACACUGACACUGAGGCACGAAAGCGUGGGUAGCAAACAGGAUUAGAUACCCUGGUAGUCCACGCCCUAAACGAUGGGUACUAGACGUCGGGAAGUUUAUCUUCUUGGUGUCGCAGCUAACGCAAUAAGUACCCCGCCUGGGGAGUACGGUCGCAAGAUUAAAACUCAAAGGAAUUGACGG
rnacentral:rRNA from 1 species